AUGAACGCUAGCUACAGGCUUCACACCUGCAAGUCGAGGGGAAACGACAUCGAAAGCUUGCUUUUGAUGGGCGUCGACCGGCGCACGGGUGAGUAACGCGUAUCCAACCUGCCCAUCACUUGGUAAUAACCUUGCGAAAGUAAGACUAAUACCCAAUGACAUCCCACGAAGACAUCUGAAUGGGAUUAAAGAUUUAUCGGUGAUGGAUGGGGAUGCGUCUGAUUAGCUUGUUGGCGGGGUAACGGCCCACCAAGGCAACGAUCAGUAGGGGUUCUGAGAGGAAGGUCCCCCACAUUGGAACUGAGACACGGUCCAAACUCCUACGGGAGGCAGCAGUGAGGAAUAUUGGUCAAUGGGCGAGAGCCUGAACCAGCCAAGUAGCGUGCAGGAUGACGGCCCUAUGGGUUGUAAACUGCUUUUAUAAGGGAAUAAAGUGGGUCUCGGGAGACUUUUUGCAUGUACCUUAUGAAUAAGGACCGGCUAAUUCCGUG
rnacentral:rRNA from 1 species